AAUGUAUCUAAGGAAUGUAAACUUCUACAGGCCUUUAAAGACUUUGGAUUACAAAUACAAUUACUAUUUUUAACUUUGGAUUACAAUUCGUAUCCGGAUCUAUCCAAGAAUAUCUUACUCUGGAACUUGGUGUUCUUUUCAAUUCUUUCCCAGACAAAAGCUUUGCUCAUUUUAAUCAACCACCUUUACAGGUAAAGAUCACACUACGGAUGUUUUACUGUUACAACAAUGAUCUAAGAUGCUGGGAGCAUAAAAAACCUAAAGACAGUUGGAG